rnacentral:misc_RNA from 1 species
CUAAGUCGAAGUUCUCUCCCUCGUCUCAAGUCCUUUCUCUCUAAUUCCGCCAAACCUUGCGGCGAUUUCUCCAACCUCUUUAACUCAGCCUCUCUGUGUCCUUUAUACUUUAAAACAGACUUCUCUCAUUCAGCAGAGCUCUCUUUGAAUUUUUCUUUCUACAACAGUCUCUCAACAAUGGCUCAAGUGAUGGCUACGGGAUCGAUCCAUGGUUCAUUACUGUGCCGUAGCUCUGGAUCGCUACAAGCGCGAGUUGAUAAGCUAAAGCCUUCAAGUUUUGCUUCGAAAGUGUUGGCAAGUGAGGAGAACAAGAGGGAGAAGAACUGCCUCAAAAUUGCCCCUAGAAGCACUCAAAUUGCGGCUGCUAAGAGAUCCGUACGUGCUGAGCCUGAAGUUAUUCCCGUCUCGCCCGAGGAUGUACCGCAGAGAGAAGACCAAGUUCUGCAUUUACAGCAAUUGGGAGACACUUCAGUGGGUGUGUGGUCGAAGCCCACAGUUAGACGCAAGACAAAGAUUGUUUGCACCAUUGGUCCUUCAACCAACACAAGGGAAAUGAUAUGGAAGCUGGCUGAGGCUGGAAUGAAUGUUGCCCGAUUGAAUAUGUCUCAUGGUGACCAUGCAUCUCAUCAGAAAGUUAUUGACUUGGUUAAAGAAUAUAAUGCACAGUCCAAAGACAAUGUCAUUGCAAUCAUGCUUGACACUAAGGGUCCUGAAGUCAGGAGUGGUGACUUGCCUCAACCAAUCACAUUAACACCAGGACAGGAUUUUACUUUUACAAUUCGUAGGGGGG